CCCCUGUUGAAAAGAUUCCAGGAAGCGCUCACAGGCAUGUGAGAUGAGGGCAAUCUAAGUUUCCUUCUUGUUCAGCUCCCUGUCUCGAUACCGUUGUUCCCUGUUUUCUGGCUCUCCACCGGCAGAAUCCUUCGAUGUUGAGCAACCUUCUGGCUUGCAGAAAAACUAAGUGCAUACUUGCCUAGAUUCCAAAACCAAGAUGACAUAUACUUCCAAUCGAACAGAUGUGGUCAGCCGUUGAUUGGGCCCAGAGGAGAAGAAAUUAAACACAUCCAAAACAACAGUGAGUAGGAAACAGGGGUAAGCAAAGAGCCUCCGGGUGGCAGCAGCGCUGGCGGCGGCUCCCGCGUCAGAGAGAACCCUACAAAAUGGCGACGGCCGCUCAAACCUCGGCGCGACCUGAAUUGUGGCCAUGGUGCUGCUGCUGCUGCUGCUGCUAAGUCACUUCAGUCGUGUCCAACUCUGUGCGACCCCAGAGACGGCCGCCCACCAGGCUCCCCCUUCCCUGGGAUUCUCCAGGCAAGGACACUGGAGUGGAUUGCCAUUUCCUUCUCCAAUGCAUGAAAAUGAAAAGUGAAAGUGAAGUCGCUCAGUCAUGUCCGACUCUUAGAGACCUCAUGGACUGGCGCCUACCAGACUCCUCCAUCUAUGGGAUUCUCCAGGCAAGAGUACUGGAGUGGGGUGCCAUUGCCUUCUCCGGUGGCCAUGCCGGAGUACAGGGCGCUGUGAAGCUUCCCCACUGA
rnacentral:lncRNA from 1 species